GAGAAUUUGCAGUAAGGAAAGGACACACCAGAAUUUAUAGUGGUUCGGUCGUCGUGACCUACAUCCACUCCCGAUUCCUCUUCCGUCAAGGCCACCAGUAUCCACUAACGGUCUUCCUAUCAUAUAUAUUACAUUCAUCAUCAACAAAAAGGAGAAGUGCAUCAAGUAAGUUUUUGAGAUAUAAUUUCAAAUCAUUGCAUUUUUCAUCAUGCAAGCUACAAAGUUUUUUUUUUUGCAAAUUUUUUACACCUUUUGAUAUAUGCAAGAUAGCAAGUUUUUU
rnacentral:lncRNA from 1 species